UUGACCUCAAAUCAGGUAGGACUACCCGCUGAACUUAAGCAUAUCAAUAAGCGGAGGAAAAGAAACUAACAAGGAUUCCCCUAGUAACUGCGAGUGAAGCGGGAAAAGCUCAAAUUUAAAAUCUGGCGGUCUUGCGGCCGUCCGAGUUGUAAUCUGGAGAAGCGUCUAUCCGUGUCGGACCGUGUACAAGUCUUCUGGAAGGGAGCGUCAUAGAGGGUGAGAAUCCCGUCUUUGACACGGACUACCGAUGCUUUUGGGAU
rnacentral:rRNA from 1 species